GACGAACGCUGGCGGCGUGCUUAACACAUGCAAGUCGAACGGAAAGGCCCUGCUUUGGUGGGGUGCUCGAGUGGCGAACGGGUGAGUAACACGUGAGUAACCUGCCCUUGACUUUGGGAUAACUUCAGGAAACUGGGGCUAAUACCGGAUAGGAGCUCCUGCGGCAGGGUGGGGGUUGGAAAGUUUCGGCGGUUGGGGAUGGACUCGCGGCUUAUCAGCUUGUUGGUGGGGUAGUGGCUUACCAAGGCUUUGACGGGUAGCCGGCCUGAGAGGGUGACCGGCCACAUUGGGACUGAGAUACGGCCCAGACUCCUACGGGAGGCAGCAGUGGGGAAUAUUGCACAAUGGGCGGAAGCCUGAUGCAGCAACGCCGCGUGCGGGAUGACGGCCUUCGGGUUGUAAACCGCUUUCGCCUGUGACGAAGCGUGAGUGACGGUAAUGGGUAAAGAAGCACCGGCUAACUACGUG
rnacentral:rRNA from 1 species